GACGUAGGGAGCGAGCGUUGUCCGGAUUCAUUGGGCGUAAAGAGCGCGCAGGCGGUUUGGUAAGUCGGAUGUGAAAACUGGAGGCUCAACCUUCAGAGGUCGACCGAAACCAUCUGGCUAGAGUCCGGGAGAGGAGAGUGGAAUUCCUGGUGUAGCGGUGAAAUGCGCAGAUAUCAGGAAGAACACCCGUGGCGAAAGCGGCUCUCUGGAACGGUACUGACGCUGAGACGCGAAAGCGUGGGGAGCAAACAGG
rnacentral:rRNA from 1 species